rnacentral:rRNA from 1 species
AGUUCGGUCCCUAUCCGUCGCAGGCGUAGGAAAUUUGAGAAGACCUGUCCUUAGUACGAGAGGACCGGGAUGGACGUACCUCUGGUGUACCAGUUGUCCUGCCAAGGGCAUGGCUGGGUAGCUAUGUGCGGAAUGGAUAAGCGCUGAAAGCAUCUAAGCGCGAAGCCAACUUCAAGAUAAGAUUUCCCACCGCAAGGGUAAGACCCCAGAAAGACUA